UACGGAGGAUCCGAGCGUUAUCCGGAUUUAUUGGUUUUAAAGGGUGCGCAGGCGGGAGAUUAAGUCGGCGGUGAAAUUUUGCAGCUCAACUGUAAAAGUGCCUUCGAAACUGGUUUCCUUGAGUGUAGAUGAAGUAGGCGGAAUUUGUGGUGUAGCGGUGAAAUGCAUAGAUAUCACGAGGAACUCCGAUUGCGCAGGCAGCUUACUAAACCAUAACUGACGCUCAAGCACGAAGGCGUGGGGAUCAAACAGGAUUAGAUACUCGGGUAGU
rnacentral:rRNA from 1 species